UUAGGUACCGCAACGAGCGCAACCCUUGUCCUUAGUUACCAGCACGUUAUGGUGGGCACUCUAAGGAGACUGCCGGUGACAAACCGGAGGAAGGUGGGGAUGACGUCAAGUCAUCAUGGCCCUUACGGCCUGGGCUACACACGUGCUACAAUGGUCGGUACAAAGGGUUGCCAAGCCGCGAGGUGGAGCUAAUCCCAUAAAACCGAUCGUAGUCCGGAUCGCAGUCUGCAACUCGACUGCGUGAAGUCGGAAUCGCUAGUAAUCGUGAAUCAGAAUGUCACGGUGAAUACGUUCCCGGGCCUU
rnacentral:rRNA from 1 species